GUGCCAGCCGCCGCGGUAAUACGUAGGGGGCAAGCGUUGUCCGGAUUUAUUGGGCGUAAAGAGCGUGUAGGCGGCUUGGUAGGUCUCUCGUCAAAACCUGAGGCUCAACCUCAGUUCGCGUGGGAAACCACCUAGCUAGAGUCCGGAAGAGGAGAACGGAAUUCCCAGUGUAGCGGUGAAAUGCGCAGAUAUCAGGAGGAACACCCGUGGCGAAGGCGGCUCUCUGGGACGGUACUGACGCUGAGACGCGAAAGCGUGGGGAGCAAACAGGAUUAGAUACCCUGGUAGUCCACGCCGUAAACGAUGGGUGCUAGGUGUGGGGGGUGUCGACUCCCUCCGUGCCGAAGCUAACGCAUUAAGCACCCCGCCUGGGGAGUACGGCCGCAAGGCUAAAACUCAAAGGAAUUGACGG
rnacentral:rRNA from 1 species